UACGUAGGGGGCAAGCGUUGUCCGGAAUCAUUGGGCGUAAAGAGCGUGUAGGCGGUUCGGUAAGUCGGCUGUGAAAGUCCAGGGCUCAACCCUGGGAUGCCGGUCGAUACUGCCGGACUAGAGUUCGGAAGAGGCGAGUGGAAUUCCUGGUGUAGCGGUGGAAUGCGCAGAUAUCAGGAGGAACACCGGUGGCGAAGGCGGGUCUCUGGGCCGACAUUGACGCUGAGGAGCGAAAGCGUGGGGAGCGAACAGG
rnacentral:rRNA from 1 species